rnacentral:rRNA from 1 species
UGGGGAAUAUUGCACAAUGGGCGCAAGCCUGAUGCAGCCAUGCCGCGUGUGUGAAGAAGGCCUUCGGGUUGUAAAGCACUUUCAGCGGGGAGGAAGGCGAUAAGGUUAAUAACCUUGUCGAUUGACGUUACCCGCAGAAGUAGCACCGGCUAACUCCGUGCCAGCAGCCGCGGUAAUACGGAGGGUGCAAGCGUUAAUCGGAAUUACUGGGCGUAAAGCGCACGCAGGCGGUCUGUCAAGUCGGAUGUGAAAUCCCCGGGCUCAACCUGGGAACUGCAUUCGAAACUGGCAGGCUAGAGUCUUGUAGAGGGGGGUAGAAUUCCAGGUGUAGCGGUGAAAUGCGUAGAGAUCUGGAGGAAUACCGGUGGCGAAGGCGGACCCCUGGACAAAGACUGACGCUCAGGUGCGAAAGCGUGGGGAGCAAACAGG